UACGUAGGGUGCGAGCGUUGUCCGGAAUUAUUGGGCGUAAAGAGCUCGUAGGCGGUGUGUCGCGUCGGUCGUGAAAACUUGGGGCUUAACUCUGAGCUUGCGGUCGAUACGGGCAUCACUGGAGUUCGGCAGGGGAGACUGGAAUUCCUGGUGUAGCGGUGAAAUGCGCAGAUAUCAGGAGGAACACCGGUGGCGAAGGCAGGUCUCUGGGCCGAUACUGACGCUGAGGAGCGAAAGCCAGGGGAGCAAACGGG
rnacentral:rRNA from 1 species